rnacentral:rRNA from 1 species
AUGAUUUGGUACAAAGACGCAUCACUUGGUUUAUCGGAUGCAACGCUUCCAUCACCGAUUCAAGUAUGCCGUUCCAUGAACUUCUCAAUCGCCACAGAGAAGGCACCAAAACCCACGCACCCGAUACAUGUAGCUUGAGGGCCACCUGCAACAACUAAAGCCCCUCCUGUGACACAGCCAGCUACUGCCGAAUUGGUAAUGUCAUGCUUUGCCCCUACCUUCUCUACGACACAUUCAGCUGCAGAAAAAAUCAAGCCCAUUACUGCAAAGGUCUUAGCAUGGCUCAUACUUUUCCUACCCAUCUGUUUUGCCUGGUAGACUAUUUGUUGCCUUGCUGUCAUCUCCUCUGACAUUAUUGGAUUUUCCAAAGCUCCAAAAAAUAGUCCCAUAAGUACACCAAGACCACCUCCUAUGACACCACUGAGGACGCUCCGGACGGCGCAGUUGUUCAUCAUCUCCUGCCCCUUGAUCUCCUCCGGCGUUGGCAGCUGGAGCGGCUGCACCGCAGCACUCUGGCUGGCCGCAUCGCCGCCCGCCGAUGGCUCCGGGGAAGCCAUCUCACAGUCUGAUCUCCCUUUUGCCGGUAGUGCGACGGUGGAGCUAGCUGCGGGCCGUGGGAAUCACUGGAAAGGCAAUGAAUUGGAUUGGAGAAGAAGCCGAGCCGAGAAGUUCCUCGAGGCUCCUCCUCGGCUUUCCUUUCUUUUCCUCCCCACCAAGAAAAAAAGAGGCGGCGGUAAGGGAGGUAGGGGAAGGGGAUCCCGGUGGUGCCUGCCUCUUCCCGCUACCGGAGGACGCAAACGUAUUCUCAGGAGUACGCCACCGUGUUCCCCUUAUCAGCGAGACCUGCAAAACAUGAAUCUGUGGUUAGUAAACUAA